rnacentral:rRNA from 1 species
UACGGAGGGUGCAAGCGUUAUCCGGAUUUACUGGGUUUAAAGGGUGCGCAGGCGGAUAUGUAAGUCAGUGGUGAAAUCUCCAGGCUUAACCUGGAAAUUGCCGUUGAUACUAUAUAUCUUGAAUGCUGUGGAGGUAAGCGGAAUAUGUCAUGUAGCGGUGAAAUGCUUAGAGAUGACAUAGAACACCUAUUGCGAAGGCAGCUUACUACGCAGAUAUUGACGCUCAUGCACGAAAGCGUAGGGAUCAAACAGG